rnacentral:lncRNA from 1 species
ACACCCUCACCCCAGCAGCCUGCCGUGAGCCGCCUCCUCCUCCUCCUCCUCCACCCCCCAACCCCCCCUGGACGUGUGGUGUAAUAAUGUAGUUAUUUAACUCGCUGGGUACAAAGGAUGUGAAUAAUGUAAAUAGAGCUCGGCCGGGGGGGGGUGGGCGUGUGGGGGCUGCUGAGGGGGGGGGGGGGGCUGCCCGCGCCCUCGUGUCAGUGUCGUGCAUUUGGACAACCUCCAACAAUAAUACACGGACAAGCGCCCGCGCCUCGCCUCGCUGCGUCCCCGGGGAUGAGGGGUUUGGGAGGCAAAUGGCGGGGUUCAGGCCCCUGACGGGGCGCUGAGGGGACCGGGCCCCGCCCGCCAGGGCCCCGCCGCCAUUUUGCGGCCCUCCCUGGCGCCAGGGAGCGGGCGAGGGAGAGGGAGGCGGAAGCCGCGGCCUGAGCCGCGCUGAGCGGGGGGGAUGCUGGGAGUUGUAGUCCGCGCGGCGCUGCCGGCGGAAGGGAGAAGCGGGGGGGUGGACUACGACUCCCGGCAGCCCCCGCGGGAGGGAGGGCGCGAAGCGGAAGUGCGUGAGGGGAGGUGGAGGCGCCUGCCUGCUGCCGCCGCCGCUGCUGCUGCUGAGGAGGCCGCGGGCGGAGCGGGGCCGGUGAGAGCUCAACUGCUUCUCCUAAAGCAACGUUCAGGAACAUCCUUGAUGGGAGACCUGUACAAGGUGUGUUUCCUGAUUUCAUAA